GAACUAGCAACAGAGACUAAGAAGGGACAGCCAAGGCACAUCCAUUAGACUGCAGAUGUGCUGACCCCUGCGAUUUCCCCAAAUGUGGGAACCCAACUGUAUAAUUUGUAGUAGUUGGGGACUGCAUUCACACUCUCCCCUA
rnacentral:snRNA from 1 species